rnacentral:rRNA from 1 species
UACGUAGGGGGCGAGCGUUGUCCGGAUUUAUUGGGCGUAAAGAGCUCGUAGGCGGUUUGGCAAGUCGGGUGUGAAAACUCCGGCUCAACUCGGAGACGCCACUCGAUACUGCCAUGACUCGAGUCCGGUAGGGGAGUGCGGAAUUCCUGGUGUAGCGGUGAAAUGCGCAGAUAUCAGGAGGAACACCAAUGGCGAAGGCAGCUCGCUGGGACGGUACUGACGCUGAGACGCGAAAGCGUGGGGAGCAAACAGG